UUGGCAAAACUUCGUUUUGCCUCCUUUUUUUUUUUUGGCAGAUGAAGUAGUGUAACUUCCACAUUUGCAGAUAAAGGUCAUUUUACAAUUGUGGGAAUGUGUAUCCCAUCCAUCAAUCAAACACAACAAUAUGCCCAAUAAAUUGAACCAAAAACCAAAAAGGAGGCAAAACGAAGUUUUGCCAAUUCCUCAUAAUGGAAGUCGGAUCCGAAGGAAAGCACACUGAAAAAUAGUAAAGCCACACACACAGAUUUCAAAUUUUGGACGGGGUAUUCAGGCAUCUGGCACAGAAGCUGCAGCUCGUUU
rnacentral:misc_RNA from 1 species